GCGAAGAAGUUCUUGUGCCGGCCACACCUACCUAUUAUUUUGGCAGGAGUUUAGCUUGCAUGGAAGCCUCGGAUGACCGUCUCUCUGAUCAUUUUCUCACCUAUUCCACCUUUGAAUAUGAAGGGUAACUGUGUUCAACAAAUGAAAUUUAGUUUCAAUGUAGAGAGUUGAGCAAUGCCAUAUAUCUUGAGAAGGCUAAGUAUUGGGACACUUCAAAGCUUCAAGUCAUAUCCUUCUUGCUGAAGGCUUUAUUCAAAGAAGAGGUGUGUGCAGAUUGUUUCAUGUGUAAGCGAUAGCUCGUUACAAUUUUCUGUAUUGGGCAAUAUAAUUGUUUUUUGUUCACUUUCUGCAGUUGCAUUUAGAGAAGGGAAUGAUGGACUGCCCACAUGCAAAGUGCACUCCUUGUAUCAGAUUGCACUAGGCCAAAAAAGCAAACAGACAACGGACCAAAUUCGUUGUGUGAUUUGGACGAUCUCCGUUGUGUAUCGGAGCGUUGUGUGAUUAAAAAUCGCACAACGGUGGAAACCCGUUGUGUGAAUCACAAACAAACAAUACUUAUUUGGUUAAAACCGAUGUGCCUUCUCUCGGCAGAUGGCAGCCACAGUUGCCGCGCGGUCAUGCUGCACAUGUCAUUGGCAUCAUUCACACAACGAAAGUUGUUUCCGAGCCGUUGUAUGAAAGGCAAUCAGACAACUGCAUU